CCUCGCCGCUCGGCAGGGCACACACAGGGCUCCGGGCCACGGGGAGCUCAGCCCCCUAGCGACAGGCAAGGGGAGCUGUGGCCGCUGCUCCGGGCCCGAAGCUCUGGCUGGCGAGGCCGUGCCGCGGUGCUGCGUCCCGCCGACCACAGCUGCGCGCCUCGAGGAGGCAAGAGCGCACAGCCUCCCAGGCCAGCCAGGCCCUACUGCAGGAGCCGGCCAGCCACAGCGUCCUCAGUCCAGUCGCCUGCGCGGUGAGGCUCUGGGGCCGCUGUGGAUCCCAAACGUGCCGCCUUUCUAAACUCCGGGCGUCCAGGUCCUGGCCCAGCGCCUCGCUGUGACCGUCCUGGAGACCCGUCUGCACAGAGGGCUCUCGGAGAGGGCCCAGGCCUCGCACUGCAGAGGGCCCGUGAGGACGCGCAGAGGAGGUGUCGCCUGCAGCCCGCGCGCGAGAGGCCUGGCCUCCUGCCCUGGCAGGGAACCAAGCGAGCCCCAAGCGGAUGCCGACGCGGGCCCAGGCCUGCGGAGCGUGCGUUGCUGUUCUGUGCGCCCCUGUGGCCACCCUCGCCGACCACGCACGCCCAAACCUUAGACGAGAAGCCAAGCCGCAGGCAGAGGAAGCCAAAGGCCACAGGAAUUUCACAGCCAGCACAUGGGUGGCAGCCGGUGCCGCACGACGGCAAGCAAAAGGAACACAGCAAGGAAUUGCGCCUCGUUUUCUGGAAUCCAGGCUGGACAGCAGCCAUCUCUCCCCUGAGUCCCCCUGAGGAGUCGUGGAGAGCAGCUCCAAGCAGGUUUCCGGUGGUGCGUCUCAAACCCAUGGACAGGAAGCUGAGGUCAUCAGUUGCUUUCUCAUUGCUGUCCGGGACGAUCCUCCCGAAACAGUGGUCAUCCUCACAUCCUGUGAGAUGGAAGCUGGGAAUCCACAGUGCUCCUCAGCACACCCUCAGCCUCCCACUCCCCUCAGGCCACCGCCACCAGCAGUGGCACACAGGGCACGACCCUUCCCUCCACGGGCCUGGAGCUCGUGUGUCUCUCUCCUCUGGCCCAUUCAAGGGGAGCCCCGAGCACGGAAUCUCUGUGCAGGACAGGCGGGGACCAGUGGUGGGCAGUGGGCUCUCUCCCCGGGCCGGGCCGGGCCAGGCCUCCUCCAGCAGGCCACAGCUCUGCCAGCUGAGUCUCCUCCCCGAACCCACUCCGAUCCCUGGGAGCUGUGCUCCCCACAGCUGCAUGGAAUCUGCCGGCGGGACAAGGAGGGCUCUGUCCCUGCAGAGCAGGAGCCGAAGUACUGAUGCGUGGACAAUGACACCGAGACCUGGGCUUGCCUUGGGCAGCCAGGGGUGGCUUUCUAGAUGAACCGUGUUUUCAGAGCUUACAUUGGCUUUCAGAUAACUAAAAGAUUAGCAAAUAUAUCC
rnacentral:lncRNA from 1 species